rnacentral:lncRNA from 1 species
UUGAUUAGUACCCUUUAUGUGUAAAUAUGCCUUGGAAUUUAUUGGCUAUCACAAUUUUUUUAUAUCACCGUAGAUUGGCUUACUCAUCUCACCAACUUGUCAUCUCAUUUGUUGUCUUGAAGAUAUGCAUCCAUGUACAUGCCAUGCAUGUUUUUUCAUACAUGUAAGCAUCCAUGUCAAGUUCACCAUGAAGGAGCCAAAAAAGCCAACCAUCGGCCGCCACC